GAUGAACGCUGGCGGCGUGCUUAACACAUGCAAGUCGAACGAAGCACUGUAUUUGAUUUCCUUCGGGACUGAUUAUCUUGUGACUGAGUGGCGGACGGGUGAGUAACGCGUGGGUAACCUGCCUUGUACAGGGGGAUAACAGUUGGACACGGAUGCUAAUACAGCAUAAGCGUACAGCAUCGCAUGCUGCAGUGCGAAAACUUAUGGUGGUAUAAGAUGGACAUGAGUUGGAUUAGAUAGUUGGUGAGGUAACGGCCCACGAAGGAGACGAUCCAUAGCCGACCUGAGAGACUGGCCGGCCACAUUGGGACUAGGACACAGCCCAAACUCCUACGGGAUGCGGCAGUGGGGAAUAGUGCACAAUGGGCGGAGUCCUGAUGCAGCUACGCCGCGUAAGCGAAGAAGUAUUUCAGUAAGUAAAGCUCUAGCAACUGGGAAGAUAUUGACGGUACCUGACUAGAAAGCACCGGCUAAAUACGUG
rnacentral:rRNA from 1 species